UAAGUAGUGUGAAUUGCAGAAUUCAGUGAAUCAUCGAAUCUUUGAACGCACAUUGCGCCCCUUGGUAUUCCAUGGGGCAUGCCUGUUCGAGCGUCAUUUGUACCUUCAAGCUUUGCUUGGUGUUGGGUGUUUGUCUCGCCUCUGCGCGCAGACUCGCCUCAAAACAAUUGGCAGCCGGCGUAUUGAUUUCGGAGCGCAGUACAUCUCGCGCUUUGCACUCAUAACGACGACGAUCCAAAGGUACAUUUUUACACUCUUGACCUCGGAUCAGGUAGGGAUACCCGCUGAACUUAAGCAUAUCAAUAAGCGGAGGAAA
rnacentral:rRNA from 1 species